rnacentral:rRNA from 1 species
AAUCAACGCUGGCGGCGUGCCUCAGACAUGCAAGUCGAACGAUUAAACUUCCCUUCGGGGAAGAUAUAAAGUGGCGCACGGGUGAGUAACACGUAGGUAAUGUACCUUUGGGUGGGGAAUAACUUAGGGAAACUUAAGCUAAUACCGCAUAAUGCAGCGGCUCCUUCGGGAGACAGUUGUUAAAGAUUUAUCGCCUAAAGAGCAGCCUGCGGCAGAUUAGCUAGUUGGUAAGGUAACGGCUUACCAAGGCUACGAUCUGUAUCCGACCUGAGAGGGUGGUCGGACACACUGACACUGAAUAACGGGUCAGACUCCUACGGGAGGCAGCAGUCGGGAAUUUUGGGCAAUGGGCGAAAGCCUGACCCAGCAAUGCCGCGUGAAGGAUGAAGUCUUUCGGGAUGUAAACUUCGUAAGAAUAGGAAGAAUAAAUGACGGUACUAUUUGUAAGGUCCGGCUAACUACGUG